UACAGAGGUCCCGAGCGUUGUUCGGAUUCAUUGGGCGUAAAGGGUGCGUAGGCGGCGGGGCCAGUCUGAUGUGAAAUCCCGGGGCUCAACCCCGGAACUGCAUUGGAUACCGCCUUGCUAGAGUACUGGAGAGGGAACUGGAAUUUACGGUGUAGCAGUGAAAUGCGUAGAGAUCGUAAGGAAGGCCAGUGGCGAAGGCGAGUUCCUGGACAGUGACUGACGCUGAGGCACGAAGGCCAGGGGAGCAAACGGG
rnacentral:rRNA from 1 species